CUGUUUUAGAAUAUCUUUUCUUUUUCCCUUUUCAUAUUAUAUAAUUUUUUUUAACUUUUAGCCAUUUUUCCCCGUUCGAUUCGAUGGGGAUGGUGAUUUUUUGAUGAAGUUAAAAAUUUCUGUGUGGUUGUUAUACAUGAUGGGGAAUCUAGCCCAUGCAGAGUGCACAUGGUAGUUAUCCUGUUCCCCCAGUGGGCCUCGCCACGAAGCUGCAGCCAUGGGAUGCUCCUACUGAUCCGUAAUGGGAGGGUAUAAGAGAAUGUUGUCAGCUGAGGACAUUGGAAGGGAAAACGCUCAACCCAUUUCUAGGUGACUGGACUACUACCUGAUGCAGUCGGUACUACUUGCAAUCAACAUCUUGAGAAAGUACUUGGAACAGAUCAUGUAUCUUGUUCCUGCUGACUUAACUGUGGGGCAAUUUGUUUACGUGAUUCGAAAGAGUAUGAAUCUGACCCAUGAGAAGGCCAUUUUCUUCUUUGUGAAGAAUAUUUUGCCACUCACUGGCAAGGAAUUUGAGACAAAUUUCAUUACUUCCAUGAUGCUCCAUUUGGAUGCACCGAGUGUAUUGGAUUAGGAUCAGAUUAGGAAACAUUCACAUAAUGUUUGAAUA